GUAAAACUGUUUCUCCCUAGGCACAAUUCCUCUUCUCGGCCUCUACAGCACUGGCUAGAGAUGUGGAGGGUUGGUCAUCUCAGUAAGCAAACCAAUUAAGAAAGGACUGGGGCCAGGGAAAUCAUUUCCUCACUGUUGCCAUGCCUCCUCUCACACUGCCAAAAGCAGAGGUUAAAAAUCACAGAAACAGGGAACGAAGUCUGGCCUCACAUAUUAUUCAAAGAAAGCAUGCGUAGAGAAUGCUAUUUCUAGUUAAAUAGCAAGUGAGGCUGAGGAGAGGCUGGGGACCCGGGAACACACACAGCAGAGCCAAGGCAAGUGGGGCACUAGGAUUCUGUCUCCAGAACGCUGAGACCGUCCCGGGUGGGCAGGUGUGACGACACUUGGAAGCUGCCUCAGGGGGUUCCUAUGCUGUCAGAUUUCUUGAAUCCUAGGAAGGCUUGACUCAAAUUUGGCCCUGAGACCCAGGAUUUAAAACCUCAGUCUUGUGACCACCAUGAGCUAUCAAGAGUGUACUUUACCCUGAGAAAUU
rnacentral:lncRNA from 1 species